UUAAGCGACUAAGCGUACACGGUGGAUGCCCUGGCAGUCAGAGGCGAUGAAGGACGUGCUAAUCUGCGAUAAGCGUCGGUAAGGUGAUAUGAACCGUUAUAACCGGCGAUUUCCGAAUGGGGAAACCCAGUGUGAUUCGUCACACUAUCAUUAACUGAAUCCAUAGGUUAAUGAGGCGAACCGGGGGAACUGAAACAUCUAAGUACCCCGAGGAAAAGAAAUCAACCGAGAUUCCCCCAGUAGCGGCGAGCGAACGGGGAGCAGCCCAGAGCCUGAAUCAGUGUGUGUGUUAGUGGAAGCGUCUGGAAAGGCGCGCGAUACAGGGUGACAGCCCCGUACACAAAAAUGCACAUGCUGUGAGCUCGAUGAGUAGGGCGGGACACGUGGUAUCCUGUCUGAAUAUGGGGGGACCAUCCUCCAAGGCUAAAUACUCCUGACUGACCGAUAGUGAACCAGUACCGUGAGGGAAAGGCGAAAAGAACCCCGGCGAGGGGAGUGAAAAAGAACCUGAAACCGUGUACGUACAAGCAGUGGGAGCACGCUUCGGCGUGUGACUGCGUACCUUUUGUAUAAUGGGUCAGCGACUUAUAUUCUGUAGCAAGGUUAACCGAAUAGGGGAGCCGAAGGGAAACCGAGUCUUAACUGGGCGUUAAGUUGCAGGGUAUAGACCCGAAACCCGGUGAUCUAGCCAUGGGCAGGUUGAAGGUUGGGUAACACUAACUGGAGGACCGAACCGACUAAUGUUGAAAAAUUAGCGGAUGACUUGUGGCUGGGGGUGAAAGGCCAAUCAAACCGGGAGAUAGCUGGUUCUCCCCGAAAGCUAUUUAGGUAGCGCCUCGUGAAUUCAUCUCCGGGGGUAGAGCACUGUUUCGGCAAGGGGGUCAUCCCGACUUACCAACCCGAUGCAAACUGCGAAUACCGGAGAAUGUUAUCACGGGAGACACACGGCGGGUGCUAACGUCCGUCGUGAAGAGGGAAACAACCCAGACCGCCAGCUAAGGUCCCAAAGUCAUGGUUAAGUGGGAAACGAUGUGGGAAGGCCCAGACAGCCAGGAUGUUGGCUUAGAAGCAGCCAUCAUUUAAAGAAAGCGUAAUAGCUCACUGGUCGAGUCGGCCUGCGCGGAAGAUGUAACGGGGCUAAACCAUGCACCGAAGCUGCGGCAGCGACGCUGAUGCGUUGUUGGGUAGGGGAGCGUUCUGUAAGCCUGUGAAGGUGUGCUGUGAGGCAUGCUGGAGGUAUCAGAAGUGCGAAUGCUGACAUAAGUAACGAUAAAGCGGGUGAAAAGCCCGCUCGCCGGAAGACCAAGGGUUCCUGUCCAACGUUAAUCGGGGCAGGGUGAGUCGACCCCUAAGGCGAGGCCGAAAGGCGUAGUCGAUGGGAAACAGGUUAAUAUUCCUGUACUUGGUGUUACUGCGAAGGGGGGACGGAGAAGGCUAUGUUGGCCGGGCGACGGUUGUCCCGGUUUAAGCGUGUAGGCUGGUUUUCCAGGCAAAUCCGGAAAAUCAAGGCUGAGGCGUGAUGACGAGGCACUACGGUGCUGAAGCAACAAAUGCCCUGCUUCCAGGAAAAGCCUCUAAGCAUCAGGUAACAUCAAAUCGUACCCCAAACCGACACAGGUGGUCAGGUAGAGAAUACCAAGGCGCUUGAGAGAACUCGGGUGAAGGAACUAGGCAAAAUGGUGCCGUAACUUCGGGAGAAGGCACGCUGAUAUGUAGGUGAAGUCCCUCGCGGAUGGAGCUGAAAUCAGUCGAAGAUACCAGCUGGCUGCAACUGUUUAUUAAAAACACAGCACUGUGCAAACACGAAAGUGGACGUAUACGGUGUGACGCCUGCCCGGUGCCGGAAGGUUAAUUGAUGGGGUCAGCGCAAGCGAAGCUCUUGAUCGAAGCCCCGGUAAACGGCGGCCGUAACUAUAACGGUCCUAAGGUAGCGAAAUUCCUUGUCGGGUAAGUUCCGACCUGCACGAAUGGCGUAAUGAUGGCCAGGCUGUCUCCACCCGAGACUCAGUGAAAUUGAACUCGCUGUGAAGAUGCAGUGUACCCGCGGCAAGACGGAAAGACCCCGUGAACCUUUACUAUAGCUUGACACUGAACAUUGAGCCUUGAUGUGUAGGAUAGGUGGGAGGCUUUGAAGUGUGGACGCCAGUCUGCAUGGAGCCGACCUUGAAAUACCACCCUUUAAUGUUUGAUGUUCUAACGUUGACCCGUAAUCCGGGUUGCGGACAGUGUCUGGUGGGUAGUUUGACUGGGGCGGUCUCCUCCUAAAGAGUAACGGAGGAGCACGAAGGUUGGCUAAUCCUGGUCGGACAUCAGGAGGUUAGUGCAAUGGCAUAAGCCAGCUUGACUGCGAGCGUGACGGCGCGAGCAGGUGCGAAAGCAGGUCAUAGUGAUCCGGUGGUUCUGAAUGGAAGGGCCAUCGCUCAACGGAUAAAAGGUACUCCGGGGAUAACAGGCUGAUACCGCCCAAGAGUUCAUAUCGACGGCGGUGUUUGGCACCUCGAUGUCGGCUCAUCACAUCCUGGGGCUGAAGUAGGUCCCAAGGGUAUGGCUGUUCGCCAUUUAAAGUGGUACGCGAGCUGGGUUUAGAACGUCGUGAGACAGUUCGGUCCCUAUCUGCCGUGGGCGCUGGAGAACUGAGGGGGGCUGCUCCUAGUACGAGAGGACCGGAGUGGACGCAUCACUGGUGUUCGGGUUGUCAUGCCAAUGGCACUGCCCGGUAGCUAAAUGCGGAAGAGAUAAGUGCUGAAAGCAUCUAAGCACGAAACUUGCCCCGAGAUGAGUUCUCCCUGACUCCUUGAGAGUCCUGAAGGAACGUUGAAGACGACGACGUUGAUAGGCCGGGUGUGUAAGCGCAGCGAUGCGUUGAGCUAACCGGUACUAAUGAACCGUGAGGCUUAA
rnacentral:rRNA from 1 species